GAUGAACGCUGGCGGCGUGCCUAAUACAUGCAAGUCGAGCGAACAGAUGAGGAGCUUGCUCCUCUGACGUUAGCGGCGGACGGGUUAGUAACACGUGGAUAACCUACCUAUAAGACUGUGAUAACUUCGGGAAACCGGAGCUAAUACCGGAUAAUAUAUUGAACCGCAUGGUUCAAUAGUUAAAGACGGUUUUGCUGUCACUUAUAGAUGGAUCCGCGCCGCAUUAGCUAGUUGGUAAGGUAACGGCUUACCAAGGCAACGAUGCGUAGCCGACCUGAGAGGGUGAUCGGCCACACUGGAACUGAGACACGGUCCAGACUCCUACGGGAGGCAGCAGUAGGGAAUCUUCCGCAAUGGGCGAAAGCCUGACGGAGCAACGCCGCGUGAGUGAUGAAGGUCUUCGGAUCGUAAAACUCUGUUAUUAGGGAAGAACAAAUGUGUAAGUAACUAUGCACGUCUUGACGGUACCUAAUCAGAAAGCCACGGCUAACUACGUG
rnacentral:rRNA from 1 species